ACGAGAGCAUGCAAUGCGCGUGCGUGACGGUGUACAACUGGGCCGACGGGCGCGGCGCCAUCAUCGGCGACUGCGUGUGCAUCCCCGAGCCGCGGCUCAGCGUGCACCAGCGGGACUCGCCGGACUUGAAAUACGACUUCAAAUCGAUACGCGUGAACAACCCGAUGCAGAUCCUUCUCAACGGGAAGCGAGUGGGCCGCAACCAGUUUGCUUGUACCAAGGUCACCAGCACCUACGAGAUACACUGAGAUUGUAUGGUACGUGGAUGGGAUUGGGUGAGAGCGGCGCUGGGAUUGGGUGAAACGACGCUAGGAAUGGAAUGUGCUGUCGAUUUAGCGAGGGCUUCCGUAAUUACGCUCACCAUUUGGCACCACUGGCACGUAAAGUCCUACCAUUCGCUACUGGCUAACACAGUGGCGCCACCUAGAAUGAUAAACUAUAGAAAAGAAACAUAUUUUUCGAAAUUAUUUACGGUGAGCCGUCCUACAGACGAUUUGAGGAGUUAAAAUAUGAAGUAGUAAUGGAAUAAAAUAAUAAAUGACUGGAAUUUAGAAUUUUCGAUGGUAUAUCCUAGCGUCGCAUGGUUGCUAUUUUUUAUAAAAAUGUUUCCAUGUAACAUGGAAUGCAUUGGGUUAAAAUAUGAUAUCAAAUGAAGAGCUAUGCUUAUUUAAACUUUUAACUGGUGCAUGCCACCAUAAUUAUGCUUUAUGCAGAUACAAUAAGUUUUAAACAUUAAAGAGGCCAAAAUGAUUCGGAGGUGAAUUGUUUUAGGCUGAGCGUAAGCGAGAAAGGGACGCAAAUGUCACAGAACAGUAUAGCACUAAGCAAAAAAAGGUCUUUACGUACCUUUAUCGUUAUAUUGUACUUUCUUACAACAUGUGGACGAUAUUUGCUUGAUGACUGUUCUAUGCUCAUUUUUAGUCUUGAAUGAAUUUUAAUACAUUGAUUUUUCCAAUCUUUUAAUUCCCAGUAAAACAGUUAAAAUUUUUCAAUAAAAUUAUCCAUACAAAAUAUGUAGUAGAAUUUUCUUAUAAUAUUUUGAUACAAACGGUAGAUUGAUACAUUGGUCAAAGUAUACAAAAUCCAUACAGGGUUGUCUAUUAUUCGUGAUCAUCACUUUUUGUACUAUCGCCCUGAAAUCAAUCAAGGUUAUUCGAAUGGGCAGAAUGUGUUUCUGACAAGCAGGAAAUAUGGUAAAAUUGUCGUAUAAAUGACAACAUUAUCUAUGAACAAUGUCAAUUUGACAGUCUUUCUAUAUUUCUACUUUUAACAAAAACACUGCGACAUUUUGACGUUGCUUUCAUAGAUAAUGCUGCCACAGAAUAGACUUAUCUGUGUAGGUAAAAUACUAUUUAUUACACUACUCACUAAACUAAGUUAGAUGUAAGUUAUUAUUCAGAAGCGAGAGAAUUUGCUAUGAUGAAAAACUUUGACAUAAAAUUUGAAUUAAUGAAAAAAAUGCUAAAAUUGUUUAUUGAUAUUUUAUUUGAACAGUAUUAUGUUUGUUAAACAAGAGUUUUAAAUUACUAAAAUGUUAAAUUAUUACAUUAUAUUUAGGUUCAUGUUUUCAUGUCUUAUUUUAUGUGAAAAAAUGACUUCAAAAUAUUUCCAAGUGUUAAAACUUCACCAAAACAUUAUGGCAAAUUUUUAUUAAUUGUUUAGGCGGAAUGCACCUCAUAUAACAUUCAUAUCUUCUUAAAAUACAUACAUACAUAAAUAUGGUACAUACUUAAUAGUGCACAUUUAAUUUAAUUAAUUCUACUAACCUUUAGGCAAAGUUGUGAAACAUUCCUAGUCUUUAAUGAAACAAUUUGUUAGUCCUUUACACAACAUUUAAUAGAUGCGAUACAAAAAUGUAAUAAAAGUGCUGUUUUUAUAAA